rnacentral:rRNA from 1 species
GACGAACGCUGGCGGCGUGCUUAACACAUGCAAGUCGAACGGAAAGGCCCUGCUUUUGUGGGGUGCUCGAGUGGCGAACGGGGGAGGAACACGUGAGUAACCUGCCCUUGACUUUGGGAUAACUUCAGGAAACUGGGGCUAAUACCGGAUAGGAGCUCCUGCUGCAUGGAGGGGGGUGGAAAGUUUCGGCGGUUGGGGAUGGACUCGCGGCUUAUCAGCUUGUUGGUGGGGUAGUGGCUUACCAAGGCUUUGACGGGUAGCCGGCCUGAGAGGGUGACCGGCCACAUUGGGACUGCGAUACGGCCCAGACUCCUACGGGAGGCAACGGUGGGGAAUAUUGCACAGUGGGCGGAAGCCUGAUGCAGCAACGCCGCGUGCGGGAUGACGGCCUUCGGGUUGUAAACCGCUUUCGCCUGUGACGAAGCGUGAGUGACGGUAAUGGGUAAAGAAGCACCGGCUAACUACGUG